GGAUGUGAGGGCUCUCUGAGUGCAACAUCUGUCACUCCGUGAAUCACCAGGGUUGAUUCAGCUGAUUUGAAAGCUAGGCACGUGUCCCUUCCUCCCUCUCCACUUCAUGUGUGACCCCCCAAGCUGUGUGGUAGGUAGAGGGGGGUCAACCUUCCCCAAUAGAGGAGGACCAUUCUUCAGUCAAAGGUGUUUGAGUAGCUAUGCUUUUCUGCUAGAAGCUCCAAAGGAACUACCAAAGUAGCUGCACCAUGUUGCUUUCCUAUGACCCACAAAUGAGCCCUCCAAAUGAGCUCCACAUCCUCACCAGCAGGUGGCGUUGG
ensembl:misc_RNA 7SK 7SK RNA